CUGGGUUCAGAACGUCGUGAGACAGUUCGGUCCCUAUCCGGCGCAGGCGUAGGAUAUCUGAGGGGAGCUGUCCUUAGUACGAGAGGACCGGGAUGGACGGAUCACUGGUGCACCUGCUGGAAACCAAUUCCACAACAGGGUAGCCAAAUCCGGAUCGGAUAAACGCUGAAGGCAUCUAAGCGUGAAGCCGACCUCAAGAUGAGAUAUCCAAGGAUUUUUGAGAUCCGCGAGACCCCCUGAAGAGUACAGGGUAGAUAGGAUGGAGGUGGAAGCACCGUGAGGUGUGCAGCUGACCAUUACUAAUAGGUCGAGUGCUUGUCCAA
rfam:Lachnospiraceae bacterium strain KH1P17 genome assembly, contig: Ga0059119_110